GAAAAAAAAAAAAAAAAAAAAAAACGCGACGAGGAUUAUUGAGCAAUCAAUAAUUAUUAUUUCCAAGUUAUAACUGACUUAGCAAAGUCAUGUUAUUUAUUAAUCGAGAAACAGAAGCAGUUAUAUUUUAUUAGUGCUACUAGAAGUCGAGAAAUUAUUCCGACUGCAACGCAAAUUCAAUCUACGGAUUUAAUCUAGAUUCAUAUUACUGUAUUAGCAUCACCAAGGCAUGAGGAUAUAAUUCAUUUAUUCAUCAAUCUCAUUCUCAUACUUUACAAACUCUUAUAACCAAUUACAGUUUCACCUAUCAAUGCUAUGAAGUAGAUACAUGAAUAUGCUAGACAUAUAUGUAAGCAUACAAUCAUCAUUAUUUUUUUUCCACUCCCUAAUGUCUCCUACACUAUACACGCAUAAUCUCCACUUCUCCACUCCACCAACUAUCUCCACCACCUUUUGCUUUCUUCCACUACAUUUUUUCUCACCACCCUUUCCACUCCACUAAUUCCACUACACCAAACUUUCCACCUACUCCCUUCCCCACCACACACAAGAAUGCAUCUAACAUUCCAUUAUACAGGCAACAAUCUUUUCAUCAUCUUCAUUCUUCACUAAGGAACCGAAGAGCAGCCACGAGUUCUGCCAUAAGCACACUGCUCCGGCAGUGUUUUGCAAGGCGAUUCCAGCCAUCCAAAAGGUCCGGGCGACAGAAAGUGAAGCCGAAGAAGAAACGACUCCACGCCAGCUUUAAGAACAAUUGAGGUUGAGCUGUGAUGGGCGAUGAAGUGUUGUUGCUGAGUGGAGUUUUUGUCGAACUUAAAGUAGGCUCAGAAAGGGUACAUGUCUUCAUACAUGUAUCUCAGUUAUGCAUUCCGCUAUAAACACUGAUUAUUUCAGUUACGCCUUCCGUUGCAAACUCUGAUAAUAUUUUAGCCAAGCCCCUAACGAUGCCUUUUUCCUUUUAAGGAAUAUAACGCGUAUACAAGUUCUUUGAGUA